UAGAUCCUCUUGGUUUGAAGCACGAGAUCCAGAAGUACCUGCUAGGGUUUGUGCCUAUUUCUUUCCUUUGAUCUGUAAUGUAAAUAUGUAAUAUGCUUGCUUGUGUGAACAAUCAGACCAAAGAUCUUGGAUCUAUAUAAUCCUUUAGGUGAUGAUAGUAAUUUUCUAAUCUAACAGUAUAUGUGGAUUUUCCCUUGUUAUUGAUGAAAUCUAAAGUAAAUAAUUUUGGGGAUGCUAUGUGAACCACACUUAAAUUGGUUUGCCAUUGCCUUCUGUAUAGGUUUUUGUUGCAGUGAACCAGCUAAUUAACCAUUCAAGACUAUCAGGAGGAAGAUGCUUGAAUUUUACUUCUGAACUCUAUAGAAGGAGGAGGUUUGAAUUAGCCUUCUUGUUUCAAGAUGUCUCAGGAGGAUUUGGAUCAAGAGAUGAGUAAUUGGAUGUCAGAGUACACCGGGCCUAAUGGGGAAAUGCUCGAAGGCGACAAGGUUGAAGGUACUGAUGGAGAGAAGGAGAAGGAGGAGGAAAAGAAAAAGGAGAAGGAGAAGGAGGUCAUUGAUCUAGAAGGUGAAGAGGGCAAGAAGAGAAAUCCGAUAGUAUCCAGAUCUGGGAUGUGGGAACACUUCAGCAAAAUUUUCCAUGAAGGUCAGUUGAUCAAGGCAAACUGCAACUAUUGCAAGAAAGAUAUUGCAGCACAUCCAGUGUUCAAUGGUACAUCUGCUAUGCAUAAGCAUUUUAAUUGUUGCAAGAGUAAUCCUCAUAUAGAGUCUAAACAAGGGGUUUUGUCAAUUAGUCAAGUUCACUCACUCCAUUUAUGGUUGAAGCUCUUGUUUGCACUCAAGAUUGGCUUAGAAGAGGAACUCCUAUCAAUGUUGUAGAGAAUACAGAAGAGUUGACCAAACUAGAAGAAGAUAUUAUUCAGGAAUUUAAGGACAAAGCAAUUGCUGAUGCACAUGCUGCCAAGUCACAAAUCCAAGGCAGCAAAAAGAAGAUGGUUACAUCCACCAACAUUAGCUCCCAGCCAAGCAAGUCCUCCAAGGAAAGCAAAAACAAGAACUCAUCUAAAGAUAAAUGACCAUGCUUGUUGAUGUUAAGUCGUUGACGAAGGUCGAAGGGUGUUGUUGUGGCCUACUGCUUGGCUGCUUGCAUGUUGAGGAAAUGAGUGGUGGCUUCGUGCCUUGCUGUUUUUAAUUAUUCCAAGUUUGAAACUGCUUGCUGGCUGCUGCUUUUAUUUUAAAACUGUGAAUUGUAGUACUGCUUGUGAGUUCUGAGCGUGAAUCACUGGAUUGUUAGUGAUUGUUGCUUGUUCUUUGAAUUUGAGAGAACCAUAAUAUUUAUGUCUUGUGCUGUUGUUUUAUAUUGAA